rnacentral:rRNA from 1 species
AUUGAACGCUGGCGGCAUGCCUUACACAUGCAAGUCGAACGGCAGCACGGGAGCAAUCCUGGUGGCGAGUGGCGAACGGGUGAGUAAUAUAUCGGAACGUGCCCAGUAGUGGGGGAUAACUGCUCGAGAGAGCAGCUAAUACCGCAUACGACCUGAGGGUGAAAGGGGGGGAUCGUAAGACCUCCCGCUAUUGGAGCGGCCGAUAUCAGAUUAGCUAGUUGGUGGGGUAAAGGCCUACCAAGGCAACGAUCUGUAGUUGGUCUGAGAGGACGACCAGCCACACUGGGACUGAGACACGGCCCAGACUCCUACGGGAGGCAGCAGUGGGGAAUUUUGGACAAUGGGCGCAAGCCUGAUCCAGCAAUGCCGCGUGCAGGAAGAAGGCCUUCGGGUUGUAAACUGCUUUUGUCAGGGAAGAAAUCCUCUAGGUUAAUACCCUUGGGGGGAUGACGGUACCUGAAGAAUAAGCACCGGCUAACUACGUGCCAGCAGCCGCAGUAAAAC